CCCGAGCUAUUGUGGCUCCGACCGGUUGCGCGUGCCCUCGGGCCCUCAGGGAGGGGAGGGUUCGAGGGUACGAGUUCGAGGCCAACCGGGUCCACAUUGGUUGAGAAAAAAAUUUUUUU
rnacentral:ncRNA from 1 species